rnacentral:rRNA from 1 species
UACGGGGGGGGGCAAGCGUUGUCCGGAUUUACUGGGCGUAAAGAGCGCGCAGGCGGUCAGAUAAGUCGAAUGUGAAAGCCCCCGGCUCAACUGGGGAGGGUCAUUCGAUACUGUUCGACUCGAAGGCAGGAGAGGGAAGCGGAAUUCCCGGUGUAGUGGUGAAAUGCGUAGAUAUCGGGAGGAACACCAGUGGCGAAGGCGGCUUCCUGGCCUGUUCUUGACGCUGAGGCGCGAAAGCUAGGGGAGCAAACGGG